CCAGCCUUUGGGCCGUCACAUUAAUUUCUGAUUUCCUUAUUCAAAGAAUACUCGUUGAAUCGGCGACCAAAAUGGCGGGUUUAAAAGACGAAAAUGGCCGGAAAAAGUCGCCGGGCCUAACAUUCCGGUGUAUUGUUUCCUGUAUUUCCGGCAUCAUCACUCAAUUUUCCCUACUUUUCAUACCUUAUUUCUUCCCACAAUUCUCUCUCCUACUUCAAUUCCUCCUCUCAGCUGCAGUUCUUGCAAUUGCUAUUGGAUUAUGCCAGUUUAUCAAGCUUUUGCUUAGAAUUCAUGCUUCAGCCCCGGUUUUUGUAUUUUUUCACACGAUCUUCUUUUGGGUUGUUUAUAUUAGCGUGAUUAGUCAAGCUGUUUCAAUUCUGUCAAAUGUUGUAUUCAAUGCAGAGCUAGCAAUUCUUCUUAUUGGGUUUUUGAGGAUCUUAUCAAGUGAUCCUGGUUUUGUUUGCCAUGACUCUCCCAGUUCAGUUGAGGGUUCAAAUUCAGAAGAUGGGCAUCAUCUGGAGGAAGUAUCAUCUACAACAAGAAGCACAAGCUUGCACAACUCAAGUGAUAUGACUUCGUUAUCUUCAAGAAGGACGCGCUAUUGUAGAAUUUGCAAAGCCUAUGUUAUUGGAUUUGAUCACCACUGCCCUGCUUUUGGAAAUUGCAUAGGCCAGAGAAAUCUUAGGCUUUUCAUGUCACUUUUAAUUAUAUUCAUAAUAAUCGAGGCCUACUAUACAAUGCUUUCUCAUCAGUGGAUCAACAGAAAUCUGAUCUUGACAGAGAGGGCCUCCAAGAUUCAAUACAGCUUGGUCCUGAGCACGAUGAACUUUUCUUUGCUUCAAGUGCUUUGGCAGGUGGCUUUUUUUGCAUGGCAUGUAUAUUGUGUUUGCUUCAAUAUAAGAACUGAAGAAUGGAUAAAUUGGAGAAGAUAUCCGGAGUUCCAUGUCAUUGUUCAGCCUAUGCCAGAUCAAUCUUUGUCAGAUACGAGGUUCAAGAAUCCGUAUGAUAAAGGACUUUUCUGCAACUUGAAGGAGUUCUUGCUGAGUUGAGACCAAUGGUUCACUACUCACAGAGUCUCUUAGGGAUUCACUUCCAAACAAGCAAAUUACCUAGACACAACAAACUUAUUCAAUCGAAAUGACGGGAAUUAACAUUGAGCACACUCCUGACAGAUAUUGGGACCUUUUUAAGCAGAAGAGAUGUCGAUGCUCUUGACCUCAGGUAGCCUGAAGCGGCGAAGGAACUUUCCACUGCUCCUCUCAACACUGUGCCACUUGUCGUUCUUCUCUUCUUGCUCCUUGCUUCUUUCUCCACUUAUCUGCAGGAUCCUGCCUUCUUCGACCUCGACCUUCACUUCUUCCUUCUUCAGCCCAGGAAGAUCAACUUUGAAAACAUGUGCCUCUGGUGUUUCCUUCCAAUCAACCCUUGUGCUUGCGAAUUGAGACGUUUCACGAGCUGAGCUGGGUACAUUGGCUAGGGCUGAAGUGAGAAUGCCAUCAAAUGGAUCCCAAGUGUCUAGGGAAAAUGGAUCAAAGACAUUGGUUUUUCGGUUACCAAAGAAGCUUGGAAUAAGCGACAUUUUUGGAAGAUUGUUUGAGCUGUGCACAGGUGAUUAAGAGUUUAUUGAAUUGAGAUUGGGAUUGAACUUAAGUGUGUUUUCUAUGUUGAUGAUAGAACUGAAAGUGCAUUGCAUAUAUAUUUAUACAUGAUGUAAUGAGAUAUCUCGGAGUUUCUGGGCAUUUCCUCCAAUAGUUUAAUACUAAGAUGUUUUUGUUAAA